CUGAUAGACCGAGCCGAGAGCAACACACCAGUUGAGCUAAUUAGACUGAGAGAGAGAAUCUUAUGAGCCUUGAGAGGAAGAGAGGAGCUGCUUCGACCACAUAUAAGCCCUCUGAACUCCGCUAAGAGUUGGGCUACGUGCUAGCAUGUUAAGAUGCUGGGCUUCGCUUAUUAGCUUGUAGGAGUGAGGAUGUUAUUUGCUGAGGCAGUUUCAUAAAACCAGUCGGAGUUAUUAUCCAAUGUUUGACCCACCGUGGUACUGUGUAUCAUUGUGCUUUAUGAAAAAUAAAUGAAAAGAUGGCUAUUUACAGUGCUAACGCUAAUCGCGGGUAGCUUGCUAUGCUAGCACAGGUAGCCUACAAUGCUACUGUGUCAUUAGACACAGAGAGAGAUAAAAUUUGAUGGUAAGAUGCAAGAACAUUGUUCUUAUGUACUGUUUUUGUGUACAUAAUGUGAUUUAUUUCAUUGUGGUUAUUCAAAUACUCAUGAUGAUUAAAAAGAGUGAAUGGAUAAAAUGUAUUCAUGGUUAAAAAGGUUAAAAGACAAAGUGUUCUAGUUAAAAAAGAUAAAUAUUGAUUUAAAAGCUGGUUAUUGAUACAAAUACUGCUUUAAAAGACUGUGAAGUCCAUUUGUGUUAAGGAUAUAAGUUCUUAAUGUAUAAUUGUGUUGAAGUAACACUAAGGUUUUGUACACUAUCAUUUACAAUGAUUUGGUUAAGAAAAUGCAGAGAAUCAGAGUAGAGUAGUGAUGAAUAUAGUACUAAUAGAAAUUAGUUUCUGCACCAUGUGUGUAGAUUGGUUUUAUAUUUCUGCUGGAUCAGGAAUUGAUCUACAGGAAGAAUUCUGAGCCUUCCAUGUUUCAGUGGCGACAGGAAAGGAGAACGGGAUCAACUUCACAAGAACUGCAGACAUCUUCCUACUUCUCUGAUACAGAUAAGCGCGCUCAAUACGAACUAAAACCUACCCGGGUAGUAGAAGAGUAAAUGAACAGACAACACAUACACCACACAGAACAAAGCUUUUCUUCUGGCAUCGAAGAAAAGGACACUUUUAUUUUAACUUUUCUAUUAUAUUUUUGUUUAUCAAAGAGCUCUAUUUUGUUGGUAUUGUUUUAAUUCUUUGUAUUAAAAGAAAUAAUACUUGUUGAAUGCAAUAAAUGAUCAUUGUUCAA